UUACCUUGGCACAAUAACCCCUAUGAGGUAGGCAGGGCAACAAUUGUUAUCCUCAUUGUGUGAUGGGGGCCACUGAAACAGUGACAAGCCAGGGGAAAUGACACUACCUUGUAGUUGGAGGAGGUCAGACAGUCCUUUGCUUUAUUCUCAAACCCUAAACUCAUGGCUGGACAUUCCCGAAAUGCAUUCUUAAACCUCUGCUGCUGAGAAUAGCUGGACCUACCAUCUACUCCCUACCUUGUAUGCCAAACGAGUUCAAUUCAAGCCAGCAGAUGGAAUAUAGGCUCAGGUAGAGCCCAUCCUGUGUGUGAGGAGGCCUGAAACCACUGGCCUCACAGGGCUCUUAGGAGAAUACCGCUUGCAAACAUGCCCAGCAAAUAGAAGGCGUCUCCAGGGAUGCUGGCUGGCCUGCCAUGAUUUAAAGUGGAAGAAGCACCAUCAAUAUCUUCAAGCCUCGGAACCUUGUGGAGCAUCUCACGGGACCAAGAUUCCAAACGACGACCUUCAGGAAACACUGCUGCGGGGGAAAGUGUGUGGGUGUGGGCUCUGACAGUCCACGGUUCAAAGCCUGCUCCGUGACCUAGCUCCACGUGGGCUACUGAAGCAGCACUGGGUCAUGGGCUUGGUGGAGCCUUGACCGGAUUUCUCCUGUGGGAGACAGCAGCCGAUGCCCCUCACUUAGCACCCUUGUUGGCCCUGGCAUGACGGACAACAGAAAUGCCCAGGUGGACACAGAGGGUUGGACCAAGGCUCCAGGGGCCCAGUCAAGUCCUGGCCUGAGGAUCAGCAGAAGGAUGGCUGAUGUUGAGCCCACCACAUCAGGAGUCAGCCAGGUCGUGUUUCCAGAUGCUACAGAAGUGAGCAGUGGGACACAGCCCUUAUCCGCUCCAGGAGGGCCAGAGAAGGAGCCCGAACACAGAGACGCAUCCGAGGAGGGGCCUCCAGAGCUCAGGACUCAGGAGCAGAGGCCUCCAGCAAGACCAAGGAAGAAGCAGUCAUCUUGGGCGCCCCAGGAAGGGCCUGCGGAGCUGCAAGCAGGCCAGGAUCAGCCUGAGCCAGAGAGUGAGCUGGAGGUGCCGCCUGGCAGGGCUUCUCCGGUACCUGAAGGGCCGCAGCAGCCAGGCUCCCAGAAGGAGACUGAGGGCCAGCAGGGGAGGCAACAGAACCCAGAGACUGAGGAGGGUCAGCUCCCCGAGAGCUGCCAGGGCCCCAACUAUCAGCCCAGCUCAGAUCACCAGGCAGCAAAUGGGUUGGAUGUGGUGCAGCCGACAGAGCCUUGCUGCGUCUUGGACAGCUGUGGACAGCUGUGUCUUGAGCCGCUGGGAGACAGGCCCUCCAAGGAGGCCAGCAGCCCACACGUCGGGGCCCAGGCAGCUGUGCCAGAGCCUGGCCCAGGGGAACUUGGGGAAAGCUCCCAAGGAACAACACCGCCAAGGCCCACGGCAACUCCAGAGGAAAAGCCAGCCAGCCCCUCCCUGCCAACCACGCCAGGACAUGAAACACCCAAAGACGGGGGCGAGGCUGUGGAGACGCAGCCAGCACCGGGGCCUCUUCCUCCACCAGAGGUGAGGGAUGCUGGAGAAAGGAGGGAGCUGGACCGUGCACAGAAGCAGCCUCAGGAGCCCAUGGUGGCCACAGCGACGCAGAACCUCAGCAGCCUCCGGCAGGGCUUCAUGAAGUGCUUGCUGGAGGUGGAGGCGGCGGAGGCCACCCAUCGGAGGGCCUCGAAGGCCCGGACCUCACCAUCCCGCAAGUCCCCCAGGACCCUGACCCCCGGGCCCACCGCAGCCCCCGUCGGCAACUCAGCCCCGAGCCUCCCUCUGACCCUGCCUCAGACGCCCCCCUCGGCCCCUGCCACUGCCCCGCCGUGGGCUCGGACGCCAGCACCCGGGCCAGUCCCUGCCCCCGUGGGAGCCCCGGUCCCAGCCUCAGCGCCUGGCACGGUACUGUCCAUCCCUCUCCUGGACCUGCGCUGGAGAAGGACGGAACUCUUGUACCACAGCAGCGAGAGGAGCCUGGGCUACACCAAAGCACGGCAGGAGUCAGAAGAGCGCAGCCUGCUGAAGUUGUACCAGAGCUGGGAGGACAGGUGGGAGGACAGGUGCGAGGAGCACCUCACCCUGAGGCAAGAGGAAGCCUUCCGCAGUUACUUCGAGAUGUUCGAUGGCGCCGGCGAGGUGGACGCGCAGAGCCUGAAGAACAUCCUGCUCCUCGUGGGCUUCUCGCUGACUCCCGCGCAGGUGGAGGACGCCCUGAUGAGUGCUGAUGUCAAUGGAGAUGGUCGUGUGGACUUCAGAGACUUCUUGGCUGUGAUGACAGACACCAAGCGCUUCUUCUGCUCCAUGGAAUGCCCUGAUGGACAUGGCUCCCCCAAACCCCCACACUCUACUCUUCGAGAUCCUGUCCCUGCUGGUGGAGAUGCUGGCUUUACCGGAGGCAGCCUUAGAGGAAAUCACAAACUACUACCAGAAGAAGCUGAAGGAAGGCACCUAUAAGGCUCAUGAGAUGGAAUCAGCCAUAGGCCGGCUGCGGUCGAGGAAGAAGCUUUCCUGCAACCCCCAGCAGGCAGACAGCUUGGAAGUCAAAGAACGAAGGGUCCUCCGGAUCCUGAGCCGACUAAAGCAACAGAACUAUGCUGCCAACCUGCAGAGCCCCUAUACCCAGGUACCCUGCAUCCCACUCUGCCCAAGGAUGGACAAGAAGACAGCCCGACGGAAGCAGAGCAACCACUACUUGCUAGACCAGGGCGCCCCUACUGGCCUGGGCCCUGACAUCGGUAGCCUCUUAUUCCAGUCAGGAUCUCAAGGAAGCAGGGAACACAGUUCUGACAGCAGAAAGUGGCUCAGCUCUGUCCCGGCUCGAACUCACUGACCCUUUGGAGUCCUGACUCUAGGCAGCUGUUCAAGGCCUGCAGACAGACGGUCAUCAGGCAGGGGCUGUGGCUGGAGUUUGCUUUUGUGGCCUGGUAAGCCAAUAAACACCAAGAACUUCA